UGGGUUAUGUUUCUUUACAGGUGAUAUUAAUUUUGUAUCGCAUUAGCCAGACUCCACUGUCUUCUUAAUAAAUAAAUAUGCGGAGAGUGACCAAGGCGUGCCUGAGUGAUCUGUGCUGCCACCGGGACUCGUUGAUGGGAUUAGUGUUCGUCACACAGAGAGAAAGAGAGGCACAGGCAGAGGGAGAAGCAGGCUCCAUGCACCGGGAGCCCGACGUGGGACUCGAUCCCCAGUCUCCAGGAUCGCAACCUGGGCCAAAGGCAGGCGCCAAACCGCUGCGCCACCCAGGGAUCUCCACAAACAGAAAAUUCUUUAGAACUCUGGAGAGGCAAUCAUUCAUCAUAUAGGUAAAAAUAAUGGCAUUGCUUCUGCCUUCCUGGAGCUUAUGGGCUGGGAAAGACAUAGAAGGUCUUUACUUCUCAGAGAUACUGUUUCUCUUUAGUUCAUGUCAAUAAAUCUCCCUGAAUCAUUUCAAUGAA